rnacentral:rRNA from 3 species
GGGUAUAGACCCGAAACCCGGUGAUCUAGCCAUGGGCAGGUUGAAGGUUGGGUAACACUAACUGGAGGACCGAACCGACUAAUGUUGAAAAAUUAGCGGAUGACCUGUGGCUGGGGGUGAAAGGCCAAUCAAACCGGGAGAUAGCUGGUUCUCCCCGAAAGCUAUUUAGGUAGCGCCUCGUGAAUUCAUCUCCGGGGGUAGAGCACUGUUUCGGCUAGGGGGCCAUCCCGGCUUACCAACCCGAUGCAAACUGCGAAUACCGGAGAAUGUUAUCACGGGAGACACACGGCGGGUGCUAACGUCCGUCGUGAAGAGGGAAACAACCCAGACCGCCAGCUAAGGUCCCAAAGUCAUGGUUAAGUGGGAAACGAUGUGGGAAGGCCCAGACAGCCAGGAUGUUGGCUUAGAAGCAGCCAUCAUUUAAAGAAAGCGUAAUAGCUCACUGGUCGAGUCGGCCUGCGCGGAAGAUGUAACGGGGCUAAACCAU